rnacentral:rRNA from 1 species
AGUUUGAUCAGUGGCUCGAGGACGAACGCUGGCGGUGUGCUUCACACAUGCAAGUCGAACGAGGUAGCAAUACCUAGUGGCGGACGGGUGAGUAACGCGUGGGAAUCUGCCUUUAGAUGGGGGAUAACGGGUCGAAAGACUCGCUAAUACCGCAUAUGACGAAAGUUGAAAGGAGUAAUCCGUCUAAAGAUGAGCCCGCGUCCGAUUAGCUAGUUGGUAGAGUUAAAGCCUACCAAGGCGACGAUCGGUAGCUGGUCUGAGAGGAUGAUCAGCCACAAUGGGACUGAGACACGGCCCAUACUCCUACGGGAGGCAGCAGUGGGGAAUUUUACGCAAUGGGCGAAAGCCUGACGUAGCGACACCGCGUGAGCGAAGAAGCCCCUUGGGGUGUAAAGCUCUGUCAGCUGGAACGAAAAAUGACGGUACCAGCAGAGGAAGCAUCGGCUAACUACGUG